rnacentral:tRNA from 1 species
AAGAUUUUAGGUUAAAUACAAACCAUUAGCCUUCAAAGCUAAAAUUAGAGCUAUUACUCUAAAUCUUA